rnacentral:rRNA from 1 species
GACGAACGCUGGCGGCGUGCCUAAUACAUGCAAGUCGAACGCACUCUCGUUUAGAUUGAAGGAGCUUGCUCCUGAUUGAUAAACAUUUGAGUGAGUGGCGGACGGGUGAGCAACACGUGGGUAACCUGCCCUAAAGUGGGGGAUAACAUUUGGAAACAGAUGCUAAUACCGCAUAAAACCUAACACCGCAUGGUGUAGGGUUGAAAGAUGGUUUCGGCUAUCACUUUAGGAUGGACCCGCGGUGCAUUAGUUAGUUGGUGAGGUAAAGGCUCACCAAGACCGUGAUGCAUAGCCGACCUGAGAGGGUAAUCGGCCACACUGGGACUGAGACACGGCCCAGACUCCUACGGGAGGCAGCAGUAGGGAAUCUUCCACAAUGGACGAAAGUCUGAUGGAGCAACGCCGCGUGAGUGAAGAAGGUUUCGGAUCGUAAAACUCUGUUGUUGGAGAAGAAUGUAUCUGAUAGUAACUGAUCAGGUAGUGACGGUAU